rnacentral:rRNA from 1 species
GCAUAAUCAUUUGCCUUCUAAUUAAAGGAUAGUAUGAAAGGAAAAACGAAAUUUAAGCUAUAUUAUUAUUAUAUUUAUAAAUUAUACUUCAGGUGAAGAUACCUGUAUUUAUUUGAAAGACAAGAAGACCCUAUAGAAUUUAAGAGGUAAGCACCUCCUUUUUAAAACAACCUCUUUCGUUGGGGCGACAAAAGAUUAAAAAAAACAUCUUUACUAAAACCAAACUAUAAUUUUCAAAAAUGAUCCUAUCCAUAGAUAAACAAAACAAAUUACCUUAGGGAUAACAGGCUAAUCUUCUUAAAGAGUUCAAAUCGACAAGAAGGUUUGGCACCUCGAUGUUGGCUUAGAGACCCCGGCUGCUGCAACAAGUAGCACGGGUAGUUUGUUCAACUAAUAAUCCUCU